CCAGAGAUGGCGGGCCCCCGGGCCCCCGUCCCCAACCCUUUGUUGACCAAACCACUUUUCCUCGGGGGCAGAGCGGCCUCCGCCGCCCCCGGUGGACCAUUCAACCCUGUCUCUGUACGUCGGAGUCUUUGAUGAAUAAAUGA
rnacentral:misc_RNA from 1 species